GAUUGCAGUGCAUCACUUUUGCGGAUUCCUCUUUCGCAAAUUUCUGAGUUCAUCCGGAAUCUGGCUCUGUUGUGGCUUACUAGUUUGAAACUUUUGCUCCCCAGUGGGAAGAGAAGCUUGAGACAUACGACUUGCUACAGAUGAUUUCUGGUAGAAUUCAUUGGUCCUUAAGCACGCAAGUUGUGGCAUAAGAACUUUUUUGAUGCAUUUGAUGCUGAAUGUGGCUCGAGCGGAAAGUGUCUUUGAAGUUCCAGCCGCUGUAGAUGGAAAUUUUGAAGGAGCCUAGGAGGCAUUGCUUGGUGGAGACUCAGAAGCAUCAUUUAUAGUUGGCUUAAUUCACUAAGACACAUGGUAGUUAUGCUCGGAAUUUAGUUAGACAUGUACAAUAGCAUCGCAGAGUAUUUCAGUUUUCUCGAUGUCGUGAGUACUCUUCAGAAACUUUUGGAACACACUCAAGGAUUUUGAAAAUGUUGCCACCAAAUCAGAGAGAAUUUUCAUUUGCGUGCAAGAACCGAGAAAAGUACACAUGUGCAUCUACUCCAAACUCAAAUGUCUGGGAAAAGAGCACCUAACGAAGGCAACUGCCAUCCUCAUUGGGAUUUGGGAAAACUGCCAAUAUCAGGUUGAUAUGAUUGCAUCUCCAUCAAAAGAAUCAAUCCUUUUCUAUGAUGAGGUAGGGGUAUGCAGUCAAUUCAUAUGUGAUUCCUGGAUCAUCUUGACUUGUACACUUCUUUCCUGGCGAAGAUCUCAGUAUCGACCAUUAAAGCGGUCAAAGUUGAUGGGUUGCUUAUGAGAUUGAGGGACACUGAACUUAGUGCACUCUCCCUGAGAGUGUGAAACUGUUUAUUCUUCGAGAAAGCGGCUGGAGAGAAGUGACGUUUCAGCCCUAUUAUCGGAACGUUAAAUGAUCGGCAAAUCACUGAAAGUCAUAAGAGUAGGCUACAAUGAAAAGUUCCAAUUUGGGAUGACAGAUAAGUACUAACUAAAGUUUGAGAUUCAGGUCAAUCGUAUUUGAAUUUGAUGGAUUUUGCUCUGGUUGUUGUGGAUUGAAUCGGAAACUUCCAGGCCACAUGAAAUCUCGUGCUUCCUCGAGGGUGAUGUUUUGCUGUGGUACCCCAAAUCUGGUAUUAGCCUCACUAAAUCUUGCACCAAUUGCCAUAGCAUCUCUGCUUGCUUUAUGUAUGAGGGAGUGCGGUUGCAACCCAAGUGAUCUGAACAUGGAAGUAUGGAUAGGCAGACUCAUCAUUGUCAUCAUCUUGU